rnacentral:rRNA from 1 species
GAUGAACGCUGGCGGCGUGCCUAAUACAUGCAAGUCGAGCGAACAGACGAGGAGCUUGCUCCUCUGACGUUAGCGGCGGACGGGUGAGUAACACGUGGAUAACCUACCUAUAAGACUGGGAUAACUUAGGGAAACCGGAGCUAAUACCGGAUAAUAUAUUGAACCGCAUGGUUCAAUAGUGAAAGACGGUUUUGCUGUCACUUAUAGAUGGAUCCGCGCCGCAUUAGCUAGUUGGUAAGGUAACGGCUUACCAAGGCGACGAUGGGUAGCCGACGUGAGAGGGUGAUGCGCCACACAGGAACUGAGACACGGUCCAGACUCCUACGGGAGGCAGAAGUAGGGAAUCUUCCGCAAUGGGCGAAAGCCUGACGGAGCAGCGCCGCGUUAGUGAUGAAGGUCUUCGGAUCGUAAAACUCUGUUAUUAGGGAAGAACAAAUGUGUAAGUAACUAUGCACGUCGUGACGGUACCUAAUCAGAAAGCCACGGCUAACUACGUG